ACAUCUAUUUAUUUCUAUCUUUUUUUAUGGCUGAUAUAGCCAUAGUAAAUUAGGAUUAUCUGUUAUUUAUAAACUCUGCCCAUAUGGUAAGUGAAAGCUACUUUUAACACAAGCUGUGUCCUCUUGAAAGGCAGCCACACCACCACUAGCAAUCAUUGUUGGCCAGCUUAUAUUGCUUAGCUGAAUAUGAGAGAAGCUUUUUUCAGUUGCUGCUGAUCUGGCAGAAUUGGUCCCAACCUCCUGCACUUAAGGGAAAGACUUUUCAUAACAGAUGAAGAAUUAAUUUGGCUCACGUGCCACGUGACGUGAAGCAUAACCACCUACUUGUGUCGGAUUCCUAACUUCUGGUCCUUUUCCUUAAAACCUAAUACAGCUGGAAAGUGCCUGCAACCUCAGUUCUUCACUAAACUGAAGGAUUUUAUAGCAGCAAGCUGCGGAGUGCCCGUAACAGGGCUGAGCUGCCUGCAGACAGUGUUUAGAGGUGGAUGCUGAUAGUUGCUAAGCAGCCUGUCCUUCACCAGACUUUGCUGGACUUGGCAAAGGCUUCUGAUUGUGAGUUAUCUAAGGAGUGGACUUGUGCUGCAAAUAGAAAGCAAUUUGCAAUCCCUUCCCGUUGCAAACCAGCAGUCAGGGUCAGUUCCCAGAGUGAAGAAAAAAAAUAAGAGGAGAGCCCCUUGUGUGGCAUAUCAAAACUACAAGAAUGAACGUGUUAAAUAUUGCACUGGAAUGGAGCUUUUAUUUCAAUAUUCAUAACAAUUUUGAGAGAACUUGUCUAUGGUUUUGUUUUUAAAGCCAGGCCGUAUCUGAAGCUUCAAAUAUCAGGCCCUUGAAGCUUCAAGGAGACUAUGAUGAGUUAGUUGUCUUUUUGACUUGUUAAACGCCCAGGUUAGUACAGACAAAUCCAUUGGCUUUGGGAAGAGUUGGUGGCAGUUUGGCUCAAACUUCACAUUUGAUGGAAUUAGGAUCUGACCCAGUGUUUUCCAGUUUAGCCCAAUAGGGUUUGUUGACUUCACUGCAGUGUAAGUUUCUCUCUUAUGAAAAUAAUUUGAAAGGGCAUAAUAUUUGAUUUGACUGUAGUAAUUCUUCAAAAUGGUAGAAAUGGAGUGAAAACUGAAUAUAUGAAAAUAAAGAAGCAACACUAGCAAAUAGUCCUGAGCCGUUCCGACAGCGUGAACAGAACAAAAUGCUGGAUAGGUGAUGAAAGCUGAUCUUUAAGUUCAAAAUAUUUAUUUAUUGUGCUGAUUUAAUAGGUUAACAGAAGACUUAAAGGCUUUAAAGCAUAUUUACUGUUAACAAAUCAAGAAAGAUAGGGCCAUACACUGCAGGAAAAAGGAACAGGUAGGGGAGCAAGCCCCAGGUGUGCCUGCAGUGCUGUGAAUAGAUGCUGCAGCUGUGAGCACUUUUGUGGAAUUAUUCCUUCUUAAUUCUCAACUCUUCAAUAAUAAUGCUUCAUGAGGUUAGACUAUAAAAUGGGUUCUGCAUGGUUUCAUGCUGGUCAAGUUACCAGUUUUAAGAGCAGCACCUAAAUAUACAUAUUUGAAAGCGUGUUAAACUACUUAAACUAUUUUUUUGCCUACCAAUUUUCUUCUGAGGAUUUUAGAGAUUAAACUCCAAAAUCUCUAUCUCAGAUGCAUAUAUUCAUGAGAUAUGCAAGAAGAAAUAUUUUUGCAUCCAGUGUGAUUGAUUAGCAGUAGCCAGAAUAACUUUGUUCAUGCUGAACAUUUCGUAACCGUCUUUGCUGCAGUCAGUUUAGAUUGUGUAGAUGUAUCCCUCAAGCUAAUUUGGGAUAAGCUAAUGUGAGUGUUGAGGUUGAGUAUCUGGCAUCCCUUGCUAACCUGAGCUUUGGUGGUCUUCUGAGAAGCUGGUUAAAUAAUACAUCAUAAAUAUAAUAAAUAAUAAAUGUCACAAUAUUAGCGGUGUUGACUUUUAUGGUCAACUAGAAUACAUAGGCAGACAGUACCACAUUGACUCCUCUCAACUCCUUAAGUUUUGGAGAAUGGAAUACAAAAACUGUCAGGGUUUGCUUUCUAAACUAUUUAUGGUCUUGAUAUGGGAAGUGAAGAAAAGGAGAAACCUCGUACCUUUUAGUCUCUUAUCAUCAUUGUCCUGAGGAACUUUGAACAAGUUUUUGGAGUUGUGUGUAUCGAUUUGAGGGCAGGAUAAAGUUGGAUAAUAUCAAGUUUGGCUUCCCAUGGACUGUUACGGUGUGAGUUCAGCAUUCGGUGCUGUGGGAAUAUGUGAUACAACAUUUCAGUUAGUACAUUUACCUUUAAGACAGCUUGGAUAAGCACAUACCAUCCUACAAAAAAGCAAAGCACAAUUGUCUAGUGAACUUUCCUUUGGGACAGAGGCAGUCAGGGUUCACAGACUUUUGCCAGCAUUUUGUUCUGUUCUUCAGCAGAAGUAGCUCUGCAGUGCUGAUCAGAUUAACAAAAUGAAGAAAUAGGAUAUCCACCCGGCUUUUAUCUGAAUAGCCCUUCAGUGAUGAGCCUUUCAGCUCUGCAUUUUUAAGUGUUAUUUAUACAUGUUUAUGAUCUGAAUUUCAUUUAUACUUGGAAACAAAGGUACUUGUAAAAAAAAAAAAAAAUAAUAAUUUACCUAAUGUGGAUAACGCUGAUUAGAAAGGGAAAUAUCAGUGGUUUUAUUCUCCUGCCCAGUCUUUUCCUGGCGUGAACGCUCUCUGCUCUUCUGAGCUCUUUGACUGGCACGUCUCCAGCAGGGCUUCGUCUCGUAGCCCAUAAAGCUCUGGUUUCUUUGUGAAAAUGCAGCUGGAGGUGAUGACUUUGCAGAGCUUGCAGCCGUGGUACCACAGGAAGGAAGAUUUACAGUGUGCCGAGCAGAAAAAUAAAACACUUUAGAGGUGUGGAGGAAGAAAAAAAGCGUAUGCAAACUUCGUGGCAGAAGAAAGAAAUAGGGAUGGUUCUGGGAGGAAGCAAUUAGCUGGUUGCUUUGCUAAUCCACUGAAACCACUUAGAUGAGACUUACAAGCGUCUCUACCGCCUACAAGCUCGCUAACUUAGUACCUGCACUGCCCACAAGUAAGUCAUGCAGUAACUUCGUGCUAAAACCUUACAUCCUUGCUUUGCUCCAGCGUGCAACUGCUGCCUGCAGAGUUUGCAGAGAGUUGUUAUCUCUUCCUGCCACCACUAAAAUACCUUUCUUUGCUGCUUCGAAGAAUUUAAUCCAAUUGCAGCAACGGCAAGAACUUACAAGAAUUACACCAGGGUGGCAGAGCCGUGACGGGUUCAUGUUGUAAUGCAGGGCUACGAGCGGUGCGGGGUGAGCACGUUUCUGCCUGCUGAAUCACUGCCGCAGCGCUUCGCCACGGGUCUGGGAGCUGGCAGAGCAGCGUCCUCCCUGCCGCGGGCUCUGCUGGCGAUGAGCAGCCUCGUGCCUACGUAGGAUGCACACCUCUGAAGGCAACACAAGGGGAAACAGCUCAGUAACACGGGAUGUAUAUCCUGGCACAGCCUCUCCUGAAAAAGGUGGUCGGCUCUCGAGCUAAGGAUGUUGCAUGGUUUGUAAUCAAACAUUUCCUCACCUGUGUUUUCCUUCCCUGUGCUCAGUCCCCACUGAGGUUUCUGGGGUUGUUCUCUCCCAGGUAAGGUCCUGGCACCAAUUCCCUCCCAAAGGACGGGGGUUACUGGUCCCAGCUGGUUGGGGUUGGCAGGGACCUCUGGAGGUCAUCUGGUCCAACCGCCCUGCUCAAGCAAGGUCUCCUGGAGCUGGAGCACGUCCAGAUGGCUUGUGAACACCUCCAAGGGCAGCUCGUGGAGCUCUGCCCAUGAAUAAAACCAGAAGUUGUUUGUGGACUGUUGAGGAGCGAGCUUAUUCGGGGUGGUAGACUUCAGAAAACACCUACCUUGCAGAGAUGUGGUGACCGAGCUGGCAGUACUCUAUGUAAAUACCAGCUGUCCCUGUCUAAUUGUACCUAUAAUUAUGUGGAAAGCGAGAGGUUCAUUCUCAAGGCUGUAGCGAUGCAGUUAAUUGUAAGUUAAUUUGGAAGAGGUCAUUAUAAAGAUGGAAGUCUUAACCUCUCGGUAAGUUAUAAUUAAUUGCAUCCAUCCAGAAACUAAAAAGUGAGUCAUGAUCAUGAAGUGUAGACAUUGAAUUCCUUUUUUUUUUUUUUUUUUUAAUAAAAAAGGAGUUGAUACCUCAGUCUGGAAUGGGACCCAAAGAAAUUCCAGCUCAAGCUGAAUGCUUUUGCCUCAGUGAUAUUUGUUUCUUGUCUCUGGGCUGUGGCUGCUUUGGCUCCUGGACAAGAAAAAAAAAGCUUUGAAGGAAGGGAAAGGUUUCAGCCUUCCUAAGCAAUGGAGAUGGGACGUUGAUCCUUUGGUGUUUUUAAUCAUGUAUCGUAUGAGCAGUUCCUUCGGUGGCAGAGAUCCAGCAUCUCAGUUGUCUGCAGACUUGGCCGAGGAAGCAUUGUGAGACCUGCUGGGUUUUGAAUAGAGGCCGGGCAAGCCUUAGUAUUGCGGAUAUCAUGUGAGAUAGUGCUGAUGUUCAGAGGCUGAGAUUUCAUGUGGGGAGUACACAGAAAUGUGGGUUUUUUUUGCUUCCACAGUAAAUGUGGAAGUAGCUUUCGUUUCCGGAGGGGAAAACCAAAUUUCCUAUUUCUUCCCUCUAUCGGUUCCUAAAUUCAGUUACCCGCUCCAAAAUCAUCUUCUGUGGCACCCAAUGUAAACAGCAUGUAGAUUAUUCUGAAAGUCACUAGCUGGGAAAUAAUUCGUAAAAAUACCUUAAAUUAAGCUCGUGGGCUUCCUUGACAUGCUUGCAUUUGUAACGACGGUAUUGCAGGUGGUGCUGUCAGGGUUGGACGUGGGCGACAAGCAGCCAAGGUUUGCUUUCGUGCAGGCAACUCACAGCAAAGCCAUACUGCCCUGCUGGGCUCACACUGCUGGGUUUGCCCUCCCCAGUGCGUCUCUGGGGUAAUUCCUGCGAUCCUCUUGUCCUAAAUGAUCACGGAUUUUUUUUUUUUCCUUCCAUUAGUUGUCAUCUGAGGAGGAGACGGUAUGCCUGUCUUCUAGGGUAACUCUAAGAUUUCAACCUUUAGCAAAAUUUGCCAUACUCCAUGUUAUAAUGGAGUUGUCUUUUCUAAUAAUAGGAAUAUUUGUGUUAUAGGUAGUCAGCUUUCUUAGUCCAGAAUUAAUGCGUCCCCAAAUCUUGUGAUAGAAGGGAGGGAGAUAUUAAUAACAAAAUGUAAGAGCCCAAUUUAAUCGUGGAUAUUGAAAUACUUUGCACUUUGAACAUUAACUGCUGCUUGCAUCCUUGAACCUUGACAAUAUGCCAGACAUGUUCCUGUUCCUGAGAAGAUUUGCACGGGAUUUUAUGCUCCCUAAUAAUAUAUUAGCAGUGUUUGCAGCACUGUGCACCCUCAGACUGAGAAAGCAGUCUGCCCCGCAGCAGCUGCUGCUCACAGUGUCCAGACAGAGAUGCUUAGAUCUUAAUGCAGAGCAUUGUACUGAUACCUGCAAAGGUGAAGUCUGUACCUCCAAAAGUUCGUAGGAUGAAGAGGCUGUGAAGCAACGUGUUAGAAAGGAGAGGCUGGAAUUGGAAUAUGUUCACUUAGAUGCUGCGGGUUAGGUAGAUCAGCAUCUAGGAAUCCAUGGGGUUUGUUCAGGUCUGUGCCUUAGAUUUGCUGUGAAUUUCAGCAGAUUUUGUUCUGAAGAUUUUAUUGGCUCUAACAAAUUCAAAAAAUGUUGCCAAGCUGCACAAAAGUCAUUACUCCUUGUUUAUUGUCAGGGUUAAUGCUUAGGAAGAGCUUGAUUCUUUGGGGAAGUGCAUUAACGAAAUCCAUCCUUGCAGAAAAAUGAAAUUAAUUUUUAUCAGAAAGAAACUGAUUUGAUAACUUAGUCUGUCCUGGCACCUCCAGGCCAACUGGAAACUAAUUACGAUGUAACAGUGGUUUUUCUCUUGCUGUCUUCCCCAUCUGUUUAUUUAAAAUAAUAAUAAAAUGGCCAUAACUUAAAUCUCGCUGCUGUUUUGCAAAUGAUUAUGAUUGAGAUUAUAACUGAAGGUUUUGAGCACAUUUUUAAUCGGUAAUGUAAUGAAAUAUAACGAGUUUAUGUUCAGGCUUGAAAAUUAUCUGUUUAUGUGACCUCAAACAGGAGCAGAAAUCGUACACUGAAGCAAUUCCUAAAUUAAUUGUGUUUUAAACCAUGCCAUGUGAAGACCUUUUAAAACUUAUUUUAAAAAUUCAGUCCUUUUAAAUGCAGUAAGUAAAAUGUGUAAUGAAGAUAGGAGUACAGCAGAUCUUUGUCCUUCCUCGAAAGGAAACCUCAUUGAAUUAGCUGAGUUCCAAGCCGUUGCAGCCUGUUCUUAUGGGAGCCUCAUGCCAUUGAUGCUUGCAGGGAAUCUUUUUAAUUGCUAAACCAAGUGAGUAUAUUUAAAUUAUAGCUUCCCCUUUGCAAUACCUGCUUUGUAGCCUUUUUCUCGUCCUGCAUGCUAAACGUUGCAAGAAAACCCAUCCUGAUGGUGCAUCUGAAGGCACCACAGGGUUUCCUCCCUGUGUCAAACCCUCCUGUUCAAGGUAUUUGAGUGGCAGGUGGGGAAGGACCCCGAAAUAUUCUUAAAAGCUCACCUUGGAGUGACUUGUGCUUUUGUCAUGGUGUUGUUUUUUGACCAGGUGGCUGAAGCAGCCUCAACACAAAGCGGAUCUGUCAGGAUCGCCUGCCUGAUUGAACUGACUCUGCAGAGUGGCUGUUUUCUGAAUUGUUUGUGAACUUCUACAUUUUGUUUUAUUUUGUAUUUUAAAGGUGUUUAGUCCAGUAGUGUGUGCUGCAUAACAAAAACAAAUACCUGGAUCGUUGUUACCUUUAAAAGCAAUAGGAAGGAAUGGCAGGAGAAGCAACAACUUAUUUAAAUCAGUUUCUUACAGUUGCUCUCAAGAAAGGAAAGAAAUAGCUUAUGAACGGUGGAAGCAAAGAGCAGCACUGACCUUGUGGUAAGGUAUCACCUUCAUUUUUGGACAAUUGUGUUACUUCAGGAACAAAUUUCUGCGGAAUUAAUUCCUGUGUGUAUACAUCACCCUACUAGGGGGAUGAUGCACCAUUUCUUGGUCUGUGAAGGAGCAGAAAACAACUGCUUUUUCUUUCCUAUCUUAAAAAGAAGAUAAAAUGCUGUGUAUUGGUUUGUAUUCACAUAUCCCAGAUCUUCUGCAGGUUAUCUUCUGCUUUGCUGCAUCAUCGAGACUGCAGUCGUCUUUCUGUAGUGUUGUGGGGAGUGGAGAUCUCAUUCCUGCUGAAACGUUCUUGUCUGCGGAUCAGUUACUAAUUUUAGGGGUUGGAGGCAGUUGUUGAAUGCUGUGCUGUAGUUGUAACACCAAGCCAAUGCGUGAGGCUGGCUAGGAGGUUUGUACGUUGUCCAAAUUUUAAAGGAAGUAAAUAGUCUCCUAAGCUUUUCAGAAUGGCUUUGGGAAGGAUGCCCGUCGAAGGAACAAGGAUUGGGAGGAAUGCCUCGGUUGGGCUUUGUCUCACGCAACAUCUCGGCGAUUUUCUGAUAUCCACGUUUGGGCUGCUCCUGUGGUUCCUGAGGUGUGUUGCACGCCCCACGCCGAUGAGAACCAUUGCUGUAGGGGAUGUGUAUAUAUAUGUACACAUCCCAUACCCCUCCAAAUCCCUGGUGUUACCUGUGGUCUGUAGCCACUGUUUCACCACACGUCCUGCAAACGUGAUGGGCGUAAGCUGCCCGUGCUUGUGCCUCUGAGCGCUGCUCUUCUGAGCCAAGUCAUCCCCUUUUUGGCCCUUACUGAGUCUGAAUAGCACCUUUCCACCCUUGAACUUCCAUGUACGGGGUGCUUAUUUAAGUUACAGAAGACCAACCCCAACCUUUAGCGUUGCCUAGGAGAAAACAGCGUCUUCUGUCAUCUCAGGUGGAUCCUCCCUUUUUGGAGGACACGAUUCCUCUGCCCCGAUGUGCCUGCCAUGCGUGACCACAGGUGCUGUUAAUGUUUUAGUAAUUUGGAGCUACUUAACCAAUAAUUUGGAAUCUUUCAUGGAAUCAGCAGAGGGAAGCGAGUACGUGACAAUUCUGCCUGCUGGCUGACACCUCUCCCUGAAGCUAUAAAAUAGCUGGGAGUCUUGGAGGACCCCCCCCCCCCCCGGAAAGUUUGUCUUGCCGUUUACCAGUCGGAACAAUGCAGCCAUGGAGAACUUCAAAGUGACUUUGCUUCGACAGCAGUAGGAUCCAGGUUCCUUCCUGUAAACACUCACUUUUCAUGGCUCAGAUCCCUUGUUUUUAAAAGCGCUUUAUUAUAACCCACCUCAUAUUCUCUGCCCGGGAGUUUGGCGGUGUGCGUGAUCCUCCUGGGCUGCGCUUUUCUUCACUUGUGGGGAAGCCAAAUUCAUCUCCCCACGUGCUUCGUGCGAUAGGCUGGAUUGAAUUGUUUUUACAUUAAUUUUUUCUUUUAAUGUCGCCACGUUUUAUAACUUAUUUCCAGUGAUUAAAGGGAGGCCUUGCACGCGGAGGCAGCAAUGCAAAAAUACCGUGCUUAUCUCAUCUAUCACUUCGGGAUGGCGUGCUCUGUUUUAUCAGGGUUUUAAUUAGAAGCGGUUGAGGAUCUGAUGUGGGUAGAAACCAUAUUUUUGAUCAUCGCAGACUACUUACUGUAGUGGGAGACAGACCACUGAUAACUGGUGUCAGCCCAGGGCGAUGCUGGUUUGACAUCGCUCACUUCGGCUGUGAGUCUCACGUGGGAAAUAGGGGGCAUUGAGUUGUUUGAAACCACAGCGAUGUUUUCUAGCAGUUUAAGCAAUAUUAUUUCGUUAUGUUCCCUCUUCUACCUUAUCCUGCUUGUUUACUGAUGUUGUGUGCUGAUCUGCUGGCACUCCAGACUGGUCUGAUACCGUAGAAGAUGGUCACUGCUCGUUUGGGGUUCCCUGCUCCAGUGGGGUAUCGCUGUUGCCCUGUCCGUGGCAGAAAGAUGACGUGCAGGUUGGCAGACUUUCUAUUUAGCCAACAGCCAAAAACUGGGAAGAAUUUUAAUUUCUAGCCUUUGCUAUUUGAAAGUGAGGGGGGUUUGUUUGCUUGGCACCAGUCAUUCUGUGAAAAGAAAACUGUUUUCUGAGCUGCAGCCUUG